ACCCUUACCUGGUUCCGGGGUCUCGUUCAUCUCCGAGGACCAGCCCUCAGGGCGAGGCGUGGGCAUUGCACUGCGCUCGACUUGCCCCUGCCACUACCCCAAACUGUGGUAGAUGGGGCAUGCAAAUUGC
rnacentral:snRNA from 1 species